AACAGCGCUCCCGCUCUCAGAACAUCACCUACCUGCCAGCAGGGCAGUCCGUGCUCCUCCAGCUCCCCCAGUGAGGCUAACCAGGCCAUGGCCUCCAUCGCUCUGAAUGACACCUUCCUUCUUCCCUACCCCAGAAAUCACUGAAAUUUAAUGAUUGGCUUAACGUGAAGGAAAUAAAGGUAAAAUCACUUCAGAUCUCUAAUUAUCAAAUGAAGCUUUUAUUGUUACACUUUUUGCCCACUUUCAUAUCCGAAAUUGCCAAGUGCCUAUGCAGACUGGCCUAUCACCCUGGGCGCUGGCAGUUGGGGGAAGAAAGGCAGGGCAGUGUGUGUGGUGGACCGGGAGCCAGCUGGCAGCCUGAGUAGACCUGGAGCCUCCAUUCUGCUAUAUAUUGAAGAUUUACAGACAGUGGUGCACACAUGUGAACCA
rnacentral:lncRNA from 1 species